AUUGAACGCUGGCGGCAUGCCUAACACAUGCAAGUCGAGCGGAUGAAGGGAGCUUUCUCCUGUAUUCAGCUGCGGACGGGUGAGUAAUUCCUAGGAAUCUGCCUGGUAUUGGGGGAUAACGUCCGUAAACGGGCGCUAAUACCGCAUACGUCCUGAUGUAGAAAGUGAUGGAUCUUCAGACCUCACGCUAUCAGAUGAGCCUAGUUCGGAUUAGCUAGUUGGUUGGGUAAAGGCUUACCAAGGCGACGAUCCGUAACUGGUCUGAGAGGAUGAUCAGUCACACUGGAACUGAGACACGGUCCAGACUCCUACGGGAGGCAGCAGUGGGGAAUAUUGGACAAUGGGCGAAAGCCUGAUCCAGCCACGCCGCGUGUGUGAAGAAGGUCUUCGGAUUGUAAAGCACUUUAAGUUGGGAGGAAGGGAAGUAAGUGAAUACAUUGCUGUUUUGACGUUACCAAAAGAGUAAGCACCGGCUAACUUCGUG
rnacentral:rRNA from 1 species